UUCCCACCCCUCAUUUUUUUUCCAGCCGCCACCGCAGCCUCCCUGUCUUCUUCUCCAUCGCGCAGCAGGCAUCCCACGGCAGCAGAAGCAGGGAGCCGUGCUCCCCUCCAUGGCGAGCAGCAAGCUGGCGCCCCUGCUCCUUCUUCCUCGGCGCUGAAGCUCCUCCCUAGCGUCCAUGGCGCCGGCGUAUCUCCAGCCGCCCCCUGCUCCUUGUUCCACGCGCAGCAGCCACGCGCAAGAAGUAAGGCCAGCAGCCAUGGCGAUUUCCCCUGCGAGCUCCCCUCUCUCCCAUGGCUGACCCUCUGCUCCCUGCACUUGGCGUCCUUGCAGCAGGCGAGCUCAGCUCCACCUCCCUGCGCUCAGCUCAUCUCCUUUGCCCAGCGCCCUCCCUCCUCUCUGUUUUUCCUUGAG
rnacentral:misc_RNA from 1 species